GACGAACGCUGGCGGCGUGCUUAACACAUGCAAGUCGAACGCUGAAGCUCAGCUUGCUGGGUGGAUGAGUGGCGAACGGGUGGGUAACACGUGAGUAACCUGCCCUCUUCUUUGGGAUAACGCCCGGAAACGGGUGCUAAUACUGGAUAUUCACUGAUUCUCGCAUGGGGGUUGGUGGAAAGGUUUUUUCUGGUGGGGGAUGGGCUCGCGGCCUAUCAGCUUGUUGGUGGGGUGAUGGCCUACCAAGGCUUUGACGGGUAGCCGGCCUGAGAGGGUGACCGGUCACAUUGGGACUGAGAUACGGCCCAGACUCCUACGGGAGGCAGCAGUGGGGAAUAUUGCACAAUGGGCGAAAGCCUGAUGCAGCGACGACGCGUGAGGGAUGGAGGCCUUCGGGUUGUAAACCUCUUUCGCUCAUGGUCAAGCCGCAGCUUUGGGUUGUGGUGAGGGUAGUGGGUAAAGAAGCGCCGGCUAACUACGUG
rnacentral:rRNA from 1 species